CUUUCAAAAUUGAUGAAGAAAAAAUCCUAAAUUUUCUCAGUUAGAAGCUGUGAUACCAUAUUAAAUUUUAUGAUAAACACUAAUUCGGUGUGUGUGUGAGAUUAAUUGAGAGAGUAAAAGAGAGAAUUAGAACAAACGAAAUGGGCUGUAACACAGUUGUAGAAUGAAAAUGAUUUUCUCUCUUGUAUUUACAAUAUGAGAUACAAGUAUUUAUAUACAAUUUACUAACCAUGAUUUACUCUAACUAACAAUUAACUAUACUUAAAUUAUCAACUUACUAUGGUUGAGUGAGCCAACUAACUAAGUACCCUGUAUACUGGCACUAUCUUCUACAGAUUCUUUCUCGGAUACAGAAUAUGGCACAAAAUUUGCAUAUAUAGACCAACAGAAUAUGACACAAUUUUUUUACCAAACUUAAUAAACAUCAAUUUCUAAAUUCUACAGAUUUUUUUACAACUUAAAAAUCAUCUACUUCUGCAUAUUCUACAACUUUAACAAACAUCAACUUCUGUAGAUUUUUACAUUUGACUAUCAAAGCAACCAAUCUAUGCAACUAAAAUCGGCAGGUUUCCUUCAUUAGCCAACCAAAAUGACUAAUCUAAACAAUUAAAAUCUACAUAUUUCCUUCAUUUAACAAUCAAACCAACUAGUUUAAACAACUAAUUUCAGCAGAAUUUCAUCAUCAACGCAAAAACAUUAGAGGCCACCUUCAAUACAUAAUUGUGUCAGCUAAAAAAAUAACAAAAAUAGCCCAUGACCAUAUAACAAGUCUUUUCCAUCGCUUCGAUUUCUGCUCCAAGUUGGAAACUUUCUCUUCCAAAGAUACGUUAUUCAAAUCUGCAACUUUACUCAUAACCAUAUCGUUCACCGCCUCACUUUGGUCACGAGAAGAAGCAGAAAAAAAUUCAGACAUUUUGAAGCUAAAACAUGAUGUAAGAACUCUGAUUUUCAGAAAUGUGAGAGGGACGAAGAAGAAGAACAAGAACCCCAAUUUUAAG
rnacentral:lncRNA from 1 species